rnacentral:rRNA from 1 species
AGCUCCAAUAGCGUAUAUUAAAGUUGUUGCCGUUAAAAAGCUCGUAGUCGAACUUCGGCCUCUGCCGCCCGGUCCGCCUAAUUGGGUGUGUACUGGAGCGGUGGAGGCUUACCUCGUGGUGAACGGCCAUGCCCUUUACUGGGUGUGGUCGGGAACCAUGACUUUUACUGUGAAAAAAUUAGAGUGUUCAAAGCAGGCUUACGCCCGAAUACAUUAGCAUGGAAUAAUAAAAUAGGACGUGCGGUCCUAUUUUGUUGGUUUCUAGGAUCGCCGUAAUGAUUAAUAGGGAUAGUUGGGGGCAUUCGUAUUCAAUUGUCAGAGGUGAAAUUCUUGGAUUUAUUGAAGACGAACUACUGCGAAAGCAUUUGCCAAGGAUGUUUUCA